AUUCGAAUCAUUCCUUCUUUUUAGGUUAACGUUUUUUCUUUUCUUUUUUCACUCCUCUCUGCCCUAAUUUCUUUCUAUCGCCGCCACGCCACAAUCGUUGCCCCACCACUGGCCUACUCGCGCCUACUCCCACCUCUCAUCUCUCUCUGCUUCUAACCUUGGUCACCGACUCUUCGAAGCCUGCAAUCGCCAAGCUCCUCGCACUUCUCUGUCAUUGCAUUUACGAGCAGUGAGAUGUGGCGAACUGGCAAUUAAACUGAUUACUCAGCCUGAAGAAAGCCAAAUUUAGCUGCACUUUUUUAGAAGUUGCCUAUCUUCGAAAUUGCUCUCUUGUUAGGAGGAAGAAGAACAUUUUCGUGUUAUUUUGACGAAUUUAUUAUUUUGAGGAAGAUUGCAUUGUUGAUUCAGACAGUGGAAUCAUUAUUUUGAUGUAUGUUUAUUGGAUGCUUGGCAUUUGUUGUGUGUUUAUUAUGUAAAAAUAUUGGAUAUAUACCUAUAUUAUUUUGAAUAUAAUAUAUUUUUUCCUUCA